AUGGUGGAUAUGGGGUUAUUGGUUAUCACCAAUGAUUCAUGGGGAAAAUGCAAUAGUAGCCAAUGAGUUUCUUGGAAAAAGCUGGAGCCAUGUGAUAUUCUUGAACUUGCCAUUCUAUAUUUGUGUUUUUACCUCUAAGUAGCCAAGAUAUAUCUACAUUUUAAUGUAAAAAGUACAGAUUCCACCAUACUCAACAGAAUCGUUGGGAGUUCAGCUAUUGAAAAGUCGUGGUUUCUUCCCUCAUGCAUAUUGGUAUUGGUUAGGAG
rnacentral:misc_RNA from 1 species